rnacentral:rRNA from 1 species
UUUGAAAUCUCCGGCGCUUGCGCCGGCGAGUUGUAGUUGCGAGAAGCACUUUCUCGGCGGAUCGGGCGUGCCUAAGUUGCUUGGAACAGUACGUCGCAGAGGGUGACAACCCCGUCUGUGGCACGGCCGGCCGCUCACGAUGUGCUUUCGAAGAGUCGGGUUGUUCGGGAAUGCAGCCCAAAACGGGUGGUAAACUCCAUCUAAAGCUAAAUAUGGACGUGAGACCGAUAGCGAACAAGUACCGUGAGGGAAAGAUGAAAAGAACUUUGAAAAGAGAGUUAAAAAGUACGUGAAACCGUUGGAAGGGAAACGAAUGGACUCAGCAAGGCGCCGUUUUGAGAUUCAGCCGGCCGGCGGGAUCGGCCCGGGGUUUGCGGAUCCGAACGGACCGCGGUCUCGGGCUCGUUUCUCCCGGCCGUCGCACUUCUCUUGGGCGCACGUCAACGUCGGUUGGGACUGGGUCUGAAAGGUCCCGGGAAGGUAGGUCCGCGCGUUCCUCCGAGUGCGCGCGCUCUGUUACAGCCCGGUUCUCUUGCGGCUCGGGCCCGACCGAGGCGGUCGCAGCGCAUGCCUCUUCUGGCUAGGGUCCCGUCCGUCCGGCCGGUCGUCGACCGCGGUGGACUGCUUGCAGUGCUCCGCGACUGCUGCCGGUCGUUUGGGUGGUGACGUCGUACCAUG